AAACUACUCCCUCCAUCCGAAAAUACUUGUUCUAAAAAUGAAUAUGAUGGAUGUAUUUAUAAUCAAAAUAAAUCUAGAUACAUUCAUCUAUAAGACAAGUAUUUCCGGACGGAGGUAGUAGUUU
rfam:Hordeum vulgare subsp. vulgare, WGS project CAJW01000000 data, contig: morex_contig_45573